rnacentral:rRNA from 1 species
CUACGGGGCGCACCAGUGAGGAAUAUUGCACAAUGGGGGGAACCCUGAUGCAGCAACGCCGCGUGGAGGAUGACGCAUUUCGGUGUGUAAGCUCCUUUUAUAUGUCAAGAAAAUGACGGUAGCAUAUGAAUAAGCACCGGCUAACUCCGUGCCAGCAGCCGCGGUAAUACGGAGGGUGCAAGCGUUACUCGGAAUCACUGGGCGUAAAGGACGCGUAGGCGGGUUGGAAAGUCAGGUAUGAAAUCCUACAGCUUAACUGUAGAACUGCACUUGAAACUUCUAAUCUAGAGUAUGGGAGGGGGAGAUGGAAUUAGUGGUGUAGGGGUAAAAUCCGUAGAUAUCACUAGGAAUACCUAAAGCGAAGGCGAUCUCCUGGAACAUUACUGACGCUAAGGCGUGAAAGCGUGGGGAGCAAACAGGAUUAGAUACCCCCGUAGUC